GACAUAGAAUGGGAAAGGACGUUGCCCUGAGUGAGAGACCUCACAGAGCCUGAGUCGAACACCAGCUUUGAGCCCUUUCUGAUGCUUCCCACACUGACUGCUGAAGGAGCCUACAUGAUUUUCACAAACUGUUCCCAAGGCUGACAUUACAUGAGACCUCCUGCUGCUGCCAUCCCUGCUUAACAUGGACCUCAGCAUUGCUCAGCCUCAGCUGUGCUCAUCUCCCACUUCACAUGCUGUCAAAUGACUUCUCCAGACGUUAAAAAAGAACAACAAAAGGAUGCAAUUGUCACUGCGGUUGGAAGCCAAUCAACGCGUUGUGAGUGGGAGCCCGCUGGUACUUUCCAAUGGUCCUUGAUUAAAAAGGAAGCUCUUGGCUAUCUUCAAGCAGCAGGAGAGGAAACAGCACGGUGAAGUGCACCUGCAGGUUAUGCAGACUGUUGCUGGCCUCUUCACACACUCCGUCUCUUUGCAGUUGAAGAAGCAUGCAACUGGAAUCCAGAGCAAAGCAAGUGACAAGAUACUCAGAUGCAGCGGAAUUCAAGCAUGAAACUAAACAGCUUCUCAGAUAUUAUCUAUUCAGCCAUCUGCUUGACAGACAAUGGAUAACCUUCUAGAUUCACGGAGCUGCAUCUGCCUUUUAAUCCAGUAUGUGCAUUUGUGAACAACUUUUGCCAGUUAUGAAGCACAGAAGAGUAAAACUCCAUCAAAAAUCACCAUUGAACACCUUGAGAGUUCUAUGUGAAUGGCAUCUGCUGCCACUGAACCAGACUGACGCAUUCACCAAAACAAGUGGUAGUUUCCAUGGAAAUAAAGAGGAGGCAUUACCUGUGGAGCAGCUAAUGUAUAUGUAGCCCAGAACCAUUCCUCUGCACUCAAUACAGCCCAGGCAAGCCAAAAGGUUGGACAGCCAUGCUCUAAGGCUUCUGCUCAUCCAGCAGAGAUUGCAGGGACUUCAGGUGAUCUUCGCCUCCUACUGAACCAGAGUAAAAGGGGAAAAGGUUUUAUUCUGAUAUCAUCAGGAGCAAUACUGCACAACUUAGGAUCUCCUGCCUUUGGCCUAUGACUUUCACAGGAAGAUCUCCAUCCUCCUCCAAUAAGAAGUACACUGCCAUCCCUCCUAAACCCAGGUAGUUGGAUGGGACAGGAAAGAAGACUGAAACUGCUUAUUUGUGGGAGCUGCUCCUGUGAUUACAUCCCUGGUGAGGACAGCAGGCAUUGCACAAGGAGGAACCUGCAGUGCUGUUGAUGCUUCACUAGCUCCAACCAAGAGACAACUGUGAGCCACACCUCACAGCAGAGCUGAACCUCCCUCUGGAUCCCAUUUAUGGGUUUUAGAACUGGCUUCAUCCCCAUCACUGUGGAGAAACCAACCAUCCC